UUGGGCAUUUAAGUACUCCACUCAGCAGUUAGAUAUGGAUGAAAAACCUGACCAAAGUAACCACUUUGAUUUUUUUGGUACCAGUGACACAUACUUGUGUACCCUGACUGUUAAACAGCCUAUUUUUGCUGAGGAGAAAAUGGUGGC